AUUGAACGCUGGCGGCAUGCCUUACACAUGCAAGUCGAACGGUAGAGGGGCAACCCUCGAGAGUGGCGAACGGGUGAGUAAUGCAUCGGAACGUACCCAGUUGUGGGGGAUAGCUCGGCGAAAGCCGGAUUAAUACCGCAUACGCACUGAGGUGGAAAGCGGGGGACUCGCAAGGGCCUCGCGCAGUUGGAGCGGCCGAUGUCAGAUUAGCUAGUUGGUGGGGUAAAGGCCUACCAAGGCGACGAUCUGUAGCUGGUCUGAGAGGAUGACCAGCCACACUGGGACUGAGACACGGCCCAGACUCCUACGGGAGGCAGCAGUGGGGAAUUUUGGACAAUGGGCGCAAGCCUGAUCCAGCCAUGCCGCGUGCAGGAAGAAGGCCUCGGUUGUAACGUAG
rnacentral:rRNA from 1 species